rnacentral:tRNA from 2 species
GAAGAGGAGGCAGAGUGGUUGAAUGUACCGCACUCGAAUUGCGGCAUACCUGCAAGGGUAUCGUGGGUUCAAAUCCCACCCUCUCCGCCA